AUACGUAGGUGGCAAGCGUUGUCCGGAUUUACUGGGCGUAAAGGGAGCGUAGGUGGAUAUUUAAGUGGGAUGUGAAAUACUCGGGCUUAACCUGGGUGCUGCAUUCCAAACUGGAUAUCUAGAGUGCAGGAGAGGAAAGGAGAAUUCCUAGUGUAGCGGUGAAAUGCGUAGAGAUUAGGAAGAAUACCAGUGGAGAAGGCGCCUUUCUGGAAUGUAACUGACUCUGAGGCUCGAAAGCGUGGGGAGCAAACAGGAUUAGAUACCCUGGGAGUCCACGCCGUAAACGAUGAAUACUAGGUGUAGGGGUUGUCAUGACCUCUGUGCCGCCGCUAACGCAUUAAGUAUUCCGCCUGGGGAGUACGGUCGCAAGAUUAAAACUCAAAUGAAUUGACGGGG
rnacentral:rRNA from 1 species